CUGUCCACACGUACCCGGAUAAAUACGUUGUUAAGGACAUGCCAGACCUGUAGGCGGCAGUACUUCCCCCGUUCUUAACCUCGUCCUUCGUCUGUGGUCUUCCGCAAGGAGCAGUGAUUCCGCUUGCAAAAACAAACAAGCAAAAAGUGCUUGGACAAUUGAUAAAGCGAGCGCAGCUCUGAGGGCUUCCAUGCUGUCGGCUAGUGUAAACACAGGUCGCACACAUGAUGUCAGCAUUUUUUUGUCGCGGAAAGUGACGUUGCAGACCUUAAAACUCCGGCUUUGUCUGUCCACACGCAGACACCCAAAACGGAGAAAACGCAGAUCUUCACUUUGGCCGGAGUUUUUAAAAAGAUUUGUUUUCGUGUGAAAAAAAACUCAGUUUUUGUGUGGUUGACAGGCCAAAACGUAGAAAAAUAUCUACGUUUUGGCAGAUCCCCGGCGACGUGUCCCCUUCAAUAUUGGACAAACGCGCAUUUGUCCCCCCCAACAACAAGGAGAAGACAAAAAUUGAUUUUGAAAUAUUUGACUCGCAAGCUUUUAUUUUGAAAGACACCGCGGACUUCUCACUGACACAGCCCCUCCCCUUAGGGAGUCAGACAGGCUGGCUGAGUGAAGCGGGAGUCGGAGCUGGGACGGCAGCAGCUCAGCGAGUUCUUCUCAUGGGCAAAAUAAGGAAGAAAGGAAAUAGACCAGAGGAAGUUCAGCAGGAAAUGAUGAAGAAAGUGAGACAGGCAGUGCCAGACCUGCUGAGGGUGAGACAGGGAGCAAAAGACUUGCUGAGGUGCAGGUAGGUGCUACAAUGAAGAGUGAGAUUUUAGAUGGUUGAUGAUGAGAGGAAGAUUCGAGCAUGAUAACAAGUGAACAUGACUAAAUAAUACUAUAACAACCAUGAUUUUAACAUUGCACUAGUCCUCCAACAGUAUUUUUACUCCUUAUUCAUGUACACUGUUUUAAUUUUAGAGAUCAGAUGAAGUUCAGCAGGAACUUGCUGAGGGUGAGACAGGGAGAGUCAGACCUGCUGAGGGUAAGACAGGGAGAGCCAGACCUGCUGAGGGUGAGAUAGGGAGAGCCAGACCAGCUGAGAGUGAGACAGGGAGAGCCAGACCAGCUGAGGGUGAGACAGGGAGAGCCAAACUUGCUGAGGGUGAGGCAGGGAGAGCCUGACCAGCUGAGGGUGAGACAGGGAGAGCCAGACAUGCUGAGGGUGAGGCAGGGAGAGCCAGACCAGCUGAGGGUGAGACAGGGAGAUCCAGACCAGGUGAGAGUGAGACAGGGAGAGCCAGACCAGGUGAGAGUGAGACAGGGAGAGCCAGACCAGGUGAGAGUGAGACAGGGAGAGCCAGACUUGCUGAGGGUGAGACAGGGAGAGCCAGACCUGCUGAGGUGCUACAGUGAAGAGUGAGAUGAUUUUAGGUGGCUGAUGAGAGGAAGAUUUGAAUGUGAUAAUAAGUGAAUGCAGUCGAAUGUAUUUAAUCACAACAAGUAGAGCUGGGCAGUUCGGCUUAAGAUUAAAAUAAAUGCUUCCUUAGAAAUAUUAGAAAAAUAAGUGUUAAACUCUGCAUUCUGGUGCAUUUAGACUGCAAUUUUGGCCACUGUUUUUUCUUUUGUCUCUCUGAAAAUUAAUGUAGUUCCAGCUGUUGUUGUGAGUGAAUUGUUUCUUUUUUCAUUCUGUCAGAAGCAAACAAAUUUUUCUGAUUGUUGGUCAGCAUUGUUGGCUGAUGUAGUUUAAGAGAGUCAGAUCAAUUCAGACUGAAUAUUCACAGCUUUAGUCUUGUAUUAAAUCUGUUUACACAUCUCUACCCAUAUGAAUAAGAUCAUAUAUCCUACAUUCAUACUAUUAAAUCAAAAUAAAACAGUACUGACACAUAAACAGCUUUUUUAUAAUUAAAACGUCCACGUUGGCCGGUAAUCACCUGGAUCUGGCUAAUGGGGAGCC
ensembl:lncRNA